CCAGCUCCAAUAGCGUAUAUUUAAGUUGUUGCAGUUAAAAAGCUCGUAGUUGGAUUUUGGGUCGGGGAAUUCGGUCUGCCACUCGGUUGAUACUGAAUUCCUCUUCCUUCUUGCCGGGGACACGCUCUGGUCUUCAUUGACUGGGGUGUGGAUUCGGCGAUGUUACUUUGAAAAAAUUAGAGUGUUCAAAGCAGGCCUAUGCUCUGAAUAAAUUAGCAUGGAAUAACACCAUAGGACUCUGGUCCUAUUGUGUUGGUCUUCGGGACCGGAGUAAUGAUUAAUAGGGACAGUUGGGGGCAUUCGUAUUUCAUUGUCAGAGGUGAAAUUCUUGGAUUUAUGAAAGACGAACUACUGCGAAAGCAUUUGCCAAGGAUGUUUUCA
rnacentral:rRNA from 1 species